GGGGAAUUUUGGACAAUGGGCGCAAGCCUGAUCCAGCAAUGCCGCGUGCAGGAUGAAGGCCUUCGGGUUGUAAACUGCUUUUGUACGGAACGAAAAGCCUCUCUCUAAUACAGGGGGGUGAUGACGGUACCGUAAGAAUAAGCACCGGCUAACUUCGUGCCAGCAGCCGCGGUAAUACGAAGGGUGCAAGCGUUAAUCGGAAUUACUGGGCGUAAAGCGUGCGCAGGCGGUUAUGUAAGACAGAUGUGAAAUCCCCGGGCUCAACCUGGGAACUGCAUUUGUGACUGCAUAGCUAGAGUACGGUAGAGGGGGAUGGAAUUCCGCGUGUAGCAGUGAAAUGCGUAGAUAUGCGGAGGAACACCGAUGGCGAAGGCAAUCCCCUGGGCCUGCACUGACGCUCAUGCACGAAAGCGUGGGGAGCAAACA
rnacentral:rRNA from 1 species